rnacentral:rRNA from 1 species
UAGGGAAUCUUCCACAAUGGACGCAAGUCUGAUGGAGCAACGCCGCGUGAGUGAAGAAGGUCUUCGGAUCGUAAAGCUCUGUUGUUGGUGAAGAAGGAUAGAGGCAGUAACUGGUCUUUAUUUGACGGUAAUCAACCAGAAAGUCACGGCUAACUGACGUGCCAGCAGCCGCGGUAAUACGUAGGUGGCAAGCGUUGUCCGGAUUUAUUGGGCGUAAAGCGAGCGCAGGCGGAAUGAUAAGUCUGAUGUGAAAGCCCACGGCUCAACCGUGGAACUGCAUCGGAAACUGUCAUUCUUGAGUGCAGAAGAGGAGAGUGGAACUCCACGUGUAGCGGUGGAAUGCGUAGAUAUAUGGAAGAACACCAGUGGCGAAGGCGGCUCUCUGGUCUGCAACUGACGCUGAGGCUCGAAAGCAUGGGUAGCGAACAGGAUUAGAUACCCUGGUAGUCCAUGCCGUAAACGAUGAGCGCUAGGUGUUGGGGACUUUCCG